GCGUUCUUCAGGCUCUAUAUUUCUGUGUUCCAUUUCGAGAACAGCUACUGGAUUAUUAUUCAAAUAACAAGAGUCUUGCUGACGCAGAUGAAAAUCUCUUGACAUGCCUUGCUGACCUGUUUAUGCAGAUAAGCUCGCAAAAGAAGAAAACUGGUGUCAUUGCUCCCAAGCGCUUCGUACAGAGAUUGAAGAAGCAGAAUGAGAUUUUCCGCAGUUAUAUGCAUCAGGACGCACACGAAUUUUUAAACUAUUUACUGAACGAACUGGUUGACAUACUGGAGAAAGAAGCCAGUCCAACUAAAAGUGA
rnacentral:misc_RNA from 1 species